UGCCAGUCCUCCUCUUCCUCUUUCUCUCAUGAAUUUGACUGCCGCUCUUGCAGCCUGGCCCCCUUUAUUUCCCUCAGCUGGAGGAGCUGAAAACAUCCACACGCACGCCGACACGGGCAUCAUGACCCUACACAAGGAGACGGUAUAUGCUGUUCAAUGCAGUCAGCAACGUUUUCUUCAAUUUUGCGGCAGAAGAAAUUUCACAACGUGAGGAAUCUUCAAGGAACUGUUUUUUUUUUUUUUUUUUUUCCCCCGACUUCAAAGUGAAGUUUCUGUAAAUUCAGGAACAGUGGCAACAUGAGUGUCAAAAGGAAAAAGAGUGGGUUGAUCAUCAGUUGGCAGAAGUCAUUCUCCAUCCUGGCUCCUUGGAGGAAAGGCAAAGGAGCCCGAGACACAGUACUGGACAGUGCAGUUGUGUUGACAAAAAUGAAGCUAUACAGCAACUUCAAUGAGAGGCUUUCAGAGGUGGAAAACUUCCAUUCCACCCUCCCAGCAGCUUCAGAACAGAAGUUCUCACAGCACUCCAAAGAAUCUUUGUCGGUUUCCCACACUGAUGACAAGUCAGGACAGCAUCAAACCCACACAAAUGCAGACUACCUGUCAGACAUUUUCUCAGGCUCUCAGCUGACAACGUUCUACAAGUUUGAGUCAGAGGACUCUGGAGUGGAGUUGUCGAGUGGUAACUCUACAUCUACGCCAACGGGCUCUGACCAGAACUUUGCUGUCCACAGUCGUGAGUCAUCCCGUGACUCAUCUAAUUCAAACUCCAACCCACCAACACAGUCUGACGAGAAAAUAAGACAUAGACAGACCACCGACCUCUCACAGCCAGAGGUUGAGAUCAGCUCUCCAGCCUCUAGAACUGAUCUGGAAAUGGAUCCGUCUAGUGUGUCUCCAAUGAACCCCGGGAGCGAUGAGGAAAUGAUUGAAAAGCUCGAGAAGGAGGAGAACUUCAAGCCCGGGAAACAAUCAUUAUCAGAAACCUAUAAUAACAAGGCAGACAAUGACAUCGAGUCUUUAAAGGGGAGUGGCACUUGCGACAGCUUUGUCAAGUACAUGGACAAAUGCUGCAUACUCAGUGAGACACAGCAAUCAAGCUCCAAUCCUUUGGGGUCAGGACUUGGGUACUUGGAGCACAUCUGCCAACUCAUCGAGAAAAUUGGCCAGCUGCAGGAGAACAACCUUCGUCUUCAGAGGCAGAUCUGUUGCUUGCAGAAGGACGGCAGAAUGACAAAGACGAAAGAGGACUUCUUCCAACACCAUUGCAGCUGUGGCGCAGCCACUCUGGCCUUUGAAGACAUGGAUGACGUUUUGUCACGUAGCGGAACGCUCGCUGAUCUGUCCACCAUUCCAGAGGUCUCGCGGCACCCACUCCUGUCUUCCAACAGUAAUACUUUACCACUUUACUCCAUCUUGAUCCUGCUCUCAGUUGCAGAUGUGAGUUGCAACGGUUGGACACCGAUCCCUCUGCGGAAGAGACGUCUCAACCGCAUGAGUUACCACGAGGGGGAUGCCUUCCUCUGUGAAAGCACCGAAGAGCUUUCCAUCCCUCGUCGGCCGGUAAACCACACGUUUCUACUGCCUUAUAAUGAGAUGCAUGCCAACCAUUUUGACUGUAUUGAGUUUACAGUGAUUACGACACAUGGGGCAGAGUCAAGGACCUGGUGAAGAGAACGAAUAUGCGGAACAAGAGCAAACUGGGAUUGAGCACAUCCUCACUGAAGAUGUCAUGUCCUCAACUCUACAGGCCUGAUCUGGGACGAAAGGAACCCGCUGACAGAAACAGGAACUCCAUGAUUGUCUUGGGACACCCUAACAAAUUGUACGUCCCUUGGCUACAAUAAAUUACGAGGUAGUGCAAACUGUUGACAACUUUAUGUACCAGUUCCACGCACUUUAAAGGUCUUUAGAAGCAUCAUCAAAAGCAGGGGAUUGUUAAAAUUUUGGUUACUUGCGAGAUAUUUUUCCAAGGACCGCCUCAUAAUUGCAACACAAAUGAAACAUAAACAGUAUUGUGCAAUUCUGUCUCAAGGAUCAGCAAACUGCAAGCAUAUUAUGAUGCUGACUGAGGAAUAAACACGCACGACAGGCUUCCUUUGUCAAAGUGGACAAAAAAAACCUAUUUCAACUGUCAACUGGAACACUGUGUCAUGUGAAGACAGUGACCCCAAGUGGACAACAAUCAUAUCCGCACCUCAUAUACACGCAUACAGUACAGUAUUAAUUAGUAAUGCGCUAUACGUGUGUAACAUUACAUUUAAACUUGGGACAGCACACUUUGGGAGACAUGAGCACCUCAAAUGACCCAGAAAAUUGAAAGGAGCUUUGUCAUUGCUGAUAUGGCAUGACUCCUUCUUGUGACUGGCUCCAAAGUCAGCCCUGCUUUGAUCAUUCACAAGCUCCAAAAUUGCAUUGCUCAAUAGACGUUAUGUCGUGAUAGCGUUUGUUUGUAUUUCCAAAAUAUUCACGCACACCCAGUUAGUGGAUCAACUUCAGCAUCUGUUUGUGCGAGCAAUAAAGUUUGCGACCAUUUUUGCAUAUGCAACCCUUUAGUACACAGAGAGCAAAGUACUGGGGUCCAAAUCCGGCCCGCCACAUCAUUUUAUGUGGUCCGCUAAAGCAAGUCAAUUUCUACUUCACAUUUCUUGGUAAAAUCUGUACCAUUAUUGCAAAUUUUAUCCCCUUUUAAUAAUGAGAUACUCCAAGCGUUUUUUUUUUAAUUAUUAUUAUUAUUACCAAACACCCUUUUUAAAAAUAGUACUUGAACAAACUAUUAUAGUGGUUUUCAAAACUAGUUAUCCAUCAAUUUGUUGUGUACAGUGGAUGACCACGAUCCACUCUCAACUGUAUCGGGGAUAGGGACUGGACCCGAUCGUGAACAGCAAAAAUCUGUGAAUAAUUAGCGUUCAUUAGAAUUGCCAUGAAAAAAAAUUCUGAUUUGUUUUUUUUCAGGGGGGAAACAUUUUUUUUCCCCCUGAAAAAAAAUUGCAAUAAGCAGGGGAUUGGGUAAAAUAAAUGUAAAUAAGCAGGGAUAGGGAAAAAAUAUAUUUUGAAUAAACCAGGGUUUUCUCAAAUAACCGAGGAUAGGUUCCCCCCCCCCCCCACAAAAUUUGCGACUACGUGAAUCUGGGAAUGCUCUACCCUAAAUAUGGAUUAGGAUGGAGCGCAUGGCAGAUGAUUCAGGACUGGGAACAGAAAAUGGGAGCAGCGAAGAAGACGAUAUAAUUAGGGAAUUAACAGGAAGAUUCCAGAAUGAGCUGUGCUGUAGCUGCACAGUAUGUGAGUGUGAUGGUCAAACUAUAAAGACUGUGACUUCAAAUUUAGGGAAAGAAAGUGUCCUGUCUUUAUACUUUUUUUUUUCCCCAUUCCAUUCCUGUUGGAAUCUUAAUCGUACUCGCAUUCCCUCGAGAUAUCCUUCAUGUUUUGUCUUCGCACAUCUGCAAAACUUGGCCAUUUGUAUCUCAUGAACAACGGGCCAAAUGAUGCACGUUGAACUAUGCAACAAUACGGGUAUGAAAGUGAUAAUACAAGAUUUCAAUAAAUAAAACUCUUGAUCAAUAAAUCAAGAAAAAGGCUCAUUUCAAAUCAAAAUAUGUUCAUUCAGUCAAACGUAACGCAAAAAGGAAAAAUGGAACUUGAUUUUAUUUUAUGGGGCAUUUUCAUAUAAUUGGAUCAAUAACGGUAAAGACGUACCGCACAAAAUUUAUUUUUGAAACUCGAUUGAGUAUUUUAAUUAUUGACAGUUGUUAUUAUUCAAAAGGUAAACAUGGUUUCUUAGAAAAAAGUUAUAAAGUAAUCUUUUUUACACUUCUAAUGCCAACAUGUCUUUCCCAUUUUGGUUUUAUCUCAUUUUGUCUCUAUCUAUCCAUCCAUCCAUCCAUCCAUCCAUCCAUUUUCUGAGCCGCUUCCCCUCACCAGGGUCGCGGUCACAAACAAACAAACAACCAUCCGCACUCACAUUCACACCUACGGGCAAUUUAGAGUCGUCUAUUAACCUAGCAUGCAUGUUUUUGGGAUGUGGGAGGAAACCGGAGUGCCCGGAGAAAAGCCACGCAGGCGGGGCCGGGGAUUGAACCCAGGUCCUCAGAACUGUGAGGCAGACGCUCCAACCAGUCGUCCACCGUGCUGCCCAUUUUGUCUCUCACAUGGUUAAAUGCAGCUGUGUGUUCUUUUCUUUUCUGUAUUUUAAUUAAUAUUGUAAGGAAAUAAAAUAUUCCUAUGAUUUUUGUAUAUCUGUCUGACAACUUUUCUUGAUAUUGUAUGUUGCAGUAUGCAUAUUACAUCGACAUUAAAUGCAUUUUCCAAAUA